rnacentral:rRNA from 1 species
AGAGUUUGAUCCUGGCUCAGGAUGAACGCUGGCGGCGUGCCUAACACAUGCAAGUCGAACGGGGCGCGCCGGCGGGGGCCCUCCGGGGCUGAAGCCGGCGCCGCCCAGUGGCGGACGGGUGAGUAACGCGUGGGCAACCUGCCCCGCACUGGGGGACAACAGCCGGAAACGGCUGCUAAUACCGCAUGGGCGCACAGCCCCGCAUGGGGCGGUGCGGAAAGCCUUGGCGGUGCGGGAUGGGCCCGCGUCUGAUUAGCUUGUUGGCGGGGCAACGGCCCACCAAGGCGACGAUCAGUAGCCGGCCUGAGAGGGUGGGCGGCCACAUUGGGACUGAGACACGGCCCAAACUCCUACGGGAGGCAGCAGUGGGGGAUAUUGCACAAUGGGGGGAACCCUGAUGCAGCGACGCCGCGUGGGCGAUGGAGCGCCUCGGCGCGUAAAGCCCUAUCAGCAGGGAAGAAAAUGACGGUACCUGACUAAGAAGCCCCGGCUAAAUACGUGCCAGCAGCCGCGGUAAUACGUAUGGGGCAAGCGUUAUCCGGAUUUACUGGGUGUAAAGGGAGCGCAGGCGGCCUGGCAAGCCUGAUGUGAAAUACCGGGGCCCAACCCCGGGGCUGCAUUGGGAACUGCCAGGCUGGAGUGCCGGAGAGGCAGGCGGAAUUCCUAGUGUAGCGGUGAAAUGCGUAGAUAUUAGGAGGAACACCAGUGGCGAAGGCGGCUUACUGGACUGUAACUGACGUUGAGGCUCGAAAGCGUGGGGAGCAAACAGGAUUAGAUACCCUGGUAGUCCACGCCGUAAACGAUGAUUACUAGGUUGUUGGGGGACCCAAGGUCCCUUCCGGUGCCGGCGCAAACCCAUUAAGUA